rnacentral:lncRNA from 1 species
GUAUAGCCGUGCGGCUAUACUAUUUUUAAUAUAAAAAAGGAGGACCCCAACGUUUAGGCGCCACGUGUCAACAUUUUUAUUUAAAAAAUAAAAAACUGGGUAUAGCCGUUCGGCUAUACUAUUUUUAAUAUAAAAAGGAGGACCACAACGUUUAGGCGCCACGUGUCAAUUUUUUAAUUAAAAAAAAUAAAAAACUGAGUAUAGCCGUUCGGCUAUACUAUUUUUAAUAUAAAAAGGUGGACCCCAACGUUUAGGCGCCACGUGUCCACUAACCACAGAGUAAAGCCGUGCGGCUGUACUCUUUUUUUGUUUUAAAAACAUGAGCCUCCAGCGGUUAGGCGCCACGUGUCCCAAACAGUAUAGCCGCCCGGCUAGACUAUCUUUCAAAGAGAAAAAUAUAGUACAGCCGCGCGGCUAUACUAUGUAAAUAGAAUUUAAUUAUUUUGUGGACUUUUUCUAUAAUUUUUUAAAUACUAAUUAAUAAUUACUAAUUAAAGUAAUUCAAAAAGGCUAAGAUGUUACUCAAUUACAUGUAUUGGAUUAAAGAAGUGGACCAAAAAACUAAAGCAAAGAAAGUAAUUAUAUGUUUAUUAAAAAGGAUUAAAUUUAUUUUUUUUUUUAAAGAAAAAGCAUUACAAAUACGUACAAACAUGUACAAUACGACUAUUGUAUGUUUGCUUUUUAAAAAAAGGAGGUGCGUAUAGAACACGAAUGUAUUAUUAGAAACUACGUACGUACAUACACACACACACAUAUAUAUAUAUAUAUAUAUAUUACGACUAAUUUAAAGUAAUUAAAAAAGAAUAAGAUAUUACUUAAUUACAUAUAUUAAAUGAAGGAAGUUGGCCAAAAGAAAAAGUAAAGAAACUAAUUUUAUAUUUUAAAAUUUUAUACUUUUCCAAAAAAAAAAAAAAAAAACACAAGAACACUUCUCCCGACGAAAUUUCGUCGGCAAAGAUCUAUGCCGACAAAAUUUGCCGGAUUAGGUUUCCCCCGACGAAAAUAUCUUUGCCGACGAAAUUUCGUCGGGAGAGGUCUUACUUUUAAAAAAUAAAUAUAAACUUGGGAUGUUUAGGUUAAUUAAUUUUUAAAAAUUUUAUUCUUAUUAACUACAUAAUAUAUUUGGAGAUUUAAUUAGUUGAAUUAGCAAUUAUAUUUUAAUUAUUAUUUAUUUAAUGACUGAUUAUGAUUAAAUAUUUUAAUUAACUUCAUGAAUUAUAUUACUUAAUGAAUAGUAAUUCAAUUUCUCUUUUUCUUUUUCUCCUUUAAUAUUCACUAAGUUAAUUACUAAUCAAAGUAAUUUAAAAAGUGAAAUACAUACUAUGCUACUUAAAGGGUGUAGCCAAACUUUUCAUAAAAAUUUAAAUUUUAAAAAAAAUAAUAAUAAUUUAAAAACCAGAGUAUAGCCGUGCGGCUAUACUAUUUUUAAUAUAAAAAAGGAGGACCCCAACGUUUAGGCGCCACGUGUCAACAUUUUUAUUUAAAAAAUAAAAAACUGGGUAUAGCCGUUCGGCUAUACUAUUUUUAAUAUAAAAAGGAGGACCACAACGUUUAGGCGCCACGUGUCAAUUAACCACAGAGUAAAGCCGUGCGGCUGUACUCUUUUUUGUUUUAAAAAAAUGAGCCUCCAGCGGUUAGGCGCCACGUGUCCCAAACAGUAUAGCCGCCCGGCUAGACUAUCUUUCAAAGAGAAAAAUAUAGUACAGCCGCGCGGCUAUACUAUGUAAAUAGAAUUUAAUUAUUUUGUGGACUUUUUCUAUAAUUUUUUACAUACUAAUUAAUAAUUACUAAUUAAAGUAAUUCAAAAAGGCUAAGAUGUUACUCAAUUACAUGUAUUGGAUUAAAGAAGUGGACCAAAAAACUAAAGCAAAGAAAGUAAUUAUAUGUUUAUUAAAAAGGAUUAAAUUUAAUUUUUUUUUUUAAAGAAAAAGCAUUACAAAUACGUACAAACAUGUACAAUACGACUAUUGUAUGUUUGCUUUUUAAAAAAAGGAGGUGCGUAUAGAACACGAAUGUAUUAUUAGAAACUACGUACGUACAUACACACACACACACACAUAUAUAUAUAUAUAUAUAUUACGACUAAUUAAAGUAAUUAAAAAAGAAUAAGAUAUUACUUAAUUACAUAUAUUAAAUGAAGGAAGUUGGCCAAAAGAAAAAGUAAAGAAACUAAUUUUAUAUUUUAAAAUUUUAUACUUUUCCAAAAAAAAAAAAAAAAAACACAAGAACACUUCUCCCGACGAAAUUUCGUCGGCAAAGAUCUAUGCCGACAAAAUUUGCCGGAUUAGGUUUCCCCCGACGAAAAUAUCUUUGCCGACGAAAUUUCGUCGGGAGAGGUCUUACUUUUAAAAAAUAAAUAUAAACUUGGGAUGUUUAGGUUAAUUAAUUUUUAAAAAUUUUAUUCUUAUUAACUACAUAAUAUAUUUGGAGAUUUAAUUAGUUGAAUUAGCAAUUAUAUUUUAAUUAUUAUUUAUUUAAUGACUGAUUAUGAUUAAAUAUUUUAAUUAACUUCAUGAAUUAUAUUACUUAAUGAAUAGUAAUUCAAUUUCUCUUUUUCUUUUUCUCCUUUAAUAUUCACUAAGUUAAUUACUAAUCAAAGUAAUUUAAAAAGUGAAAUACAUACUAUGCUACUUAAAGGGUGUAGCCAAACUUUUCAUAAAAAUUUAAAUUUUAAAAAAAAAUAAUAAUAAUUUAAAAACCAGAGUAUAGCCGUGCGGCUAUACUAUUUUUAAUAUAAAAAAGGAGGACCCCAACGUUUAGGCGCCACGUGUCAACAUUUUUAUUUAAAAAAUAAAAAACUGGGUAUAGCCGUUCGGCUAUACUAUUUUUAAUAUAAAAAGGAGGACCACAACGUUUAGGCGCCACGUGUCAAUUUUUUAAUUAAAAAAAAUAAAAAACUGAGUAUAGCCGUUCGGCUAUACUAUUUUUAAUAUAAAAAGGUGGACCCCAACGUUUAGGCGCCACGUGUCCACUAACCACAGAGUAAAGCCGUGCGGCUGUACUCUUUUUUUGUUUUAAAAACAUGAGCCUCCAGCGGUUAGGCGCCACGUGUCCCAAACAGUAUAGCCGCCCGGCUAGACUAUCUUUCAAAGAGAAAAAUAUAGUACAGCCGCGCGGCUAUACUAUGUAAAUAGAAUUUAAUUAUUUUGUGGACUUUUUCUAUAAUUUUUUAAAUACUAAUUAAUAAUUACUAAUUAAAGUAAUUCAAAAAGGCUAAGAUGUUACUCAAUUACAUGUAUUGGAUUAAAGAAGUGGACCAAAAAACUAAAGCAAAGAAAGUAAUUAUAUGUUUAUUAAAAAGGAUUAAAUUUAUUUUUUUUUUUAAAGAAAAAGCAUUACAAAUACGUACAAACAUGUACAAUACGACUAUUGUAUGUUUGCUUUUUAAAAAAAGGAGGUGCGUAUAGAACACGAAUGUAUUAUUAGAAACUACGUACGUACAUACACACACACACAUAUAUAUAUAUAUAUAUAUAUUACGACUAAUUAAAGUAAUUAAAAAAGAAUAAGAUAUUACUUAAUUACAUAUAUUAAAUGAAGGAAGUUGGCCAAAAGAAAAAGUAAAGAAACUAAUUUUAUAUUUUAAAAUUUUAUACUUUUCCAAAAAAAAAAAAAAAAAAACACAAGAACACUUCUCCCGACGAAAUUUCGUCGGCAAAGAUCUAUGCCGACAAAAUUUGCCGGAUUAGGUUUCCCCCGACGAAAAUAUCUUUGCCGACGAAAUUUCGUCGGGAGAGGUCUUACUUUUAAAAAAUAAAUAUAAACUUGGGAUGUUUAGGUUAAUUAAUUUUUAAAAAUUUUAUUCUUAUUAACUACAUAAUAUAUUUGGAGAUUUAAUUAGUUGAAUUAGCAAUUAUAUUUUAAUUAUUAUUUAUUUAAUGACUGAUUAUGAUUAAAUAUUUUAAUUAACUUCAUGAAUUAUAUUACUUAAUGAAUAGUAAUUCAAUUUCUCUUUUUCUUUUUCUCCUUUAAUAUUCACUAAGUUAAUUACUAAUCAAAGUAAUUUAAAAAGUGAAAUACAUACUAUGCUACUUAAAGGGUGUAGCCAAACUUUUCAUAAAAAUUUAAAUUUUAAAAAAAAUAAUAAUAAUUUAAAAACCAGAGUAUAGCCGUGCGGCUAUACUAUUUUUAAUAUAAAAAAGGAGGACCCCAACGUUUAGGCGCCACGUGUCAACAUUUUUAUUUAAAAAAUAAAAAACUGGGUAUAGCCGUUCGGCUAUNNNNNNNNNNNNNNNNNNNNNNNNNNNNNNNNNNNNNNNNNNNNNNNNNNNNNNNNNNNNNNNNNNNNNNNNNNNNNNNNNNNNNNNNNNNNNNNNNNNNNNNNNNNNNNNNNNNNNNNNNNNNNNNNNNNNNNNNNNNNNNNNNNNNNNNNNNNNNNNNNNNNNNNNNNNNNNNNNNNNNNNNNUUUUUUGUUUUAAAAAAAUGAGCCUCCAGCGGUUAGGCGCCACGUGUCCCAAACAGUAUAGCCGCCCGGCUAGACUAUCUUUCAAAGAGAAAAAUAUAGUACAGCCGCGCGGCUAUACUAUGUAAAUAGAAUUUAAUUAUUUUGUGGACUUUUUCUAUAAUUUUUUAAAUACUAAUUAAUAAUUACUAAUUAAAGUAAUUCAAAAAGGCUAAGAUGUUACUCAAUUACAUGUAUUGGAUUAAAGAAGUGGACCAAAAAACUAAAGCAAAGAAAGUAAUUAUAUGUUUAUUAAAAAGGAUUAAAUUUAAUUUUUUUUUUUAAAGAAAAAGCAUUACAAAUACGUACAAACAUGUACAAUACGACUAUUGUAUGUUUGCUUUUUAAAAAAAGGAGGUGCGUAUAGAACACGAAUGUAUUAUUAGAAACUACGUACGUACAUACACACACACACACACAUAUAUAUAUAUAUAUAUAUAUUACGACUAAUUAAAGUAAUUAAAAAAGAAUAAGAUAUUACUUAAUUACAUGUAUUAAAUGAAGGAAGUUGGCCAAAAGAAAAAGUAAAGAAACUAAUUUUAUAUUUUAAAAUUUUAUACUUUUCCAAAAAAAAAAAAAAAAAAACACAAGAACACUUCUCCCGACGAAAUUUCGUCGGCAAAGAUCUAUGCCGACAACAUUUGCCGGAUUAGGUUUCCCCCGACGAAAAUAUCUUUGCCGACGAAAUUUCGUCGGGAGAGGUCUUACUUUUAAAAAAUAAAUAUAAACUUGGGAUGUUUAGGUUAAUUAAUUUUUAAAAAUUUUAUUCUUAUUAACUACAUAAUAUAUUUGGAGAUUUAAUUAGUUGAAUUAGCAAUUAUAUUUUAAUUAUUAUUUAUUUAAUGACUGAUUAUGAUUAAAUAUUUUAAUUAACUUCAUGAAUUAUAUUACUUAAUGAAUAGUAAUUCAAUUUCUCUUUUUCUUUUUCUCCUUUAAUAUUCACUAAGUUAAUUACUAAUCAAAGUAAUUUAAAAAGUGAAAUACAUACUAUGCUACUUAAAGGGUGUAGCCAAACUUUUCAUAAAAAUUUAAAUUUUAAAAAAAAUAAUAAUAAUUUAAAAACCAGAGUAUAGCCGUGCGGACUAUACUAUUUUUAAUAUAAAAAAGGAGGACCCCAACGUUUAGGGCGCCACGUGUCAACAUUUUUAUUUAAAAAAUAAAAAACUGGGUAUAGCCGUUCGGCUAUACUAUUUUUAAUAUAAAAAGGGAGGACCACAACGUUUAGGCGCCACGUGUCAAUUUUUUAAUUAAAAAAAAUAAAAAACUGAGUAUAGCCG